rnacentral:lncRNA from 1 species
AACAAUGUGGGCAUAUUAUAUAUAUAUUUUUAGAAUGAACUUAAAAAAUAAUAAACUCUAACUCCACUUUUGGCACUAAUUUCUUGAUUGCUAACAUGAUGCAUUUCUGCAAGAAGAGCUCAUUUCACAAUCUUUGAGGACAUUAUGUGUCUAAGACAAACCUGCAGGUGCUGUUGAGAACAGCAGAGCCAGCUGGAGGCUCUGGGAGGAAUUCCAUCUGGAAGAAAACAUGGUGUGUCCAGAGGGCAGAGUGGUGUGGUGGAGUCGGUGCUGGAGAUGAUGUGUGUACAAGAGCAGGACUCUGGACGGAGGCAGGGAUCUGGGCCAGCACAACAUGGAGAGGCUGAAGCUUCCUGGAGUGACCAGCAGGCAGGAGUAAGGGCCAGGUCCCUGAAAUCUAUGGAAGGAGAUUUUACUGGUGUGUCCACCUCCUCCUGGCCAGGCCACAGCUUUCUCAGCAGGGAGAGGAAGACAACGAAUCAGAAUGGGAAGGGAGUUUGCAUUUCUCGAGGACCUCAGGGACACAUCCUCAGGGACACAUGCACAGACUAGUGCUGCUUCUCAAGUUGCUCUGGUUACCGCAAUGGGGUAUCGAUCAGGGACGGCGUGGAGCCGAGGGUUUCAGCCGAGCCUCCGGGAGGCCAGGCUUUGGUCUGAACUGGAAGAGCACAAAGGCCAGCGGUGUCCUGUGGUGCGCGGAGCGCGCGAGGGCCAAGAAUCCAGCGGAACAUCUCACACGUGGUGGGCAUUCAAUACCAUGUACCGAAGAAGGAAUGACUGAGGGACUUGGUACGUGGAUGAGUGUGUACAAGAGGGAGCCCAGCAUGGGAGUGGCUCAGAGGGUGGAUUCUGGAGUCUGACUCUUGGGGCAGCUUCUUCCUCCACGGUGUGCACACAAAUCACCUAGCAUCGUAUCAAAAGGCAGAUUCUGAUUCAGUGGGUCUUAGUGGGCCCCAAGACUCUGUGUUUCCAACAAAUUUCCACAAAACAUGGCUUCUGUUGGUUGAAGACUGGGCUUGGAGAGGUAAGGUGCCCAAGAUCAAAUCUUACCACGUCUACUGCCUGCUACAUAGACAACAUCAUGUGGAUUGUUUGACCUCUUUUGACCUUGGUUUCAUUAUCAAGUGAGAAUAACCAUGAUAGCACCUCCCUCAGAAGACCAUGGCAAGGAUUAAGAAUGAUGGUGAACGUUCCUGCACAUAGUAAGAGUUGAUCCAUAAUCAUAUGUUGAUACCUUCUCAUGGCUAUAAUAAACAAUAGUUAUUCCUGUUAUUGCUUACUUUUCUUUUUUUUUUUUAAUUUAAUUUAUUUAUUCAUGAGAGAUACAGAGAGAGGCAGAGACAUAGGCUGAAGGAGAAGCAGGCUUUCUGCUGGGAGCCUGAUGGAGGACUUGGUCCCAGGACCCCGGGAUCAUGGCC